rnacentral:rRNA from 1 species
AGAGUUUGAUCAUGGCUCAGAACGUACGCUGGCGGCACGCCUAACACAUGCAAGUCGAACGAAGUAGCAAUACUUAGUGGCAGACGGGUGAGUAACAUGUAGGUAUCUGCCCUUUGGCCUGGAAUAACACGAGGAAACUUGUGCUAAUACCGGAUAAGUCUUUACGGAGAAAGCUUUAUGCACCAUUGGAUGAGCCUGCACUUGAUUAGUUUGUUGGUGGGGUAAUGGCCUACCAAGACUGUGAUCAAUAGCUGAUUUGAGAGGAUGAUCAGCCACAUUGGGACUGAGACACGGCCCAAACUCCUACGGGAGGCAGCAGUGGGGAAUCUUGCACAAUGGAGGAAACUCUGAUGCAGCGAUGCCGCGUGAGUGAAGAAGGCCCUUGGGUUGUAAAGCUCUUUCGUCGGGGAAGAAAAUGACUGUACCCGAAUAAGAAGGUCCGGCUAACUUCGUGCCAGCAGCCGCGGUAAUACGAAGGGACCUAGCGUAGUUCGGAAUUACUGGGCUUAAAGAGUUCGUAGGUGGUUGAAAAAGUUAGUGGUGAAAUCCCAGAGCUUAACUCUGGAACUGCCAUUAAAACUUUUCAGCUAGAGUAUGAUAGAGGAAAGCAGAAUUUCUAGUGUAGAGGUGAAAUUCGUAGAUAUUAGAAAGAAUACCAAUUGCGAAGGCAGCUUUCUGGAUCAUUACUGACACUGAGGAACGAAAGCAUGGGUAGCGAAGAGGAUUAGAUACCCUCGUAGUCCAUGCCGUAAACGAUGUGUGUUAGACGUUGGAAAUUUAUUUUCAGUGUCGCAGGGAAACCGAUAAACACACCGCCUGGGGAGUACGACCGCAAGGUUAAAACUCAAAUGAAUUGACGGGGACCCGCACAAGUAGUGGAGCAUGUGGUUUAAUUCGAAGAUACGCGCAGAACCUUACCAACACUUGACAUGUUCGUCGCGACUCUAAGAGAUUAGAGUUUUCGGUUCGGCCGGACGAAACACAGGUGCUGCAUGGCUGUCGUCAGCUCGUGUCGUGAGAUGUUGGGUUAAGUCCCGCAACGAGCGCAACCCUCACUUUUAGUUGCCAUCAUUAAGUUGGGCACUCUGAAAGAACUGCCAGUGAUAAGCUGGAGGAAGGUGGGGAUGACGUCAAGUCCUCAUGGCCCUUACGUGUUGGGCUACACACGUGCUACAAUGGUAUCUACAACAGGAAGCAAGACUGCGAGGUCAAGCAAAUCCUUAAAAGAUACCUCAGUUCGGAUUGCACUCUGCAACUCGAGUGCAUGAAGCUGGAAUUACUAGUAAUCGUGGAUCAGCGUGCCACGGUGAAUGCGUUCCCGGGUCUUGUACACACCGCCCGUCACACCAUGGGAGUUGGUUCUACCUUAAGGCAAGGUUUCAAACCCUUGACCACGGUAUAGUCAGCGACUGGGGUGAAGUCAUAACAAGGUAGCCGUA